rnacentral:rRNA from 1 species
UACGUAGGGUCCGAGCGUUGUCCGGAAUUACUGGGCGUAAAGAGCUCGUAGGUGGUUUGUCGCGUUGUUCGUGAAAACUCACAGCUCAACUGUGGGCGUGCGGGCGAUACGGGCAGACUAGAGUACUGCAGGGGAGACUGGAAUUCCUGGUGUAGCGGUGGAAUGCGCAGAUAUCAGGAGGAACACCGGUGGCGAAGGCGGGUCUCUGGGCAGUAACUGACGCUGGAGGAGCGAAAGCAUGGGGAGCGAACAGG